ACUGCCCGUGAUAAGCGGGAGGAAGGUGUGGAUGACGUCAAGUCCUCAUGGCCCUUACGGGUUGGGCUACACACGUGCUACAAUGGUAGUGACAAUGGGUUAAUCCCAAAAAGCUAUCUCAGUUCGGAUUGGGGUCUGCAACUCGACCCCAUGAAGUCGGAAUCGCUAGUAAUCGCGUAACAGCAUGACGCGGUGAAUACGUUCCCGGGCC
rnacentral:rRNA from 14 species